rnacentral:rRNA from 1 species
GACGGGAACCCGCACAAGCGGUGGAGUAUGUUGUUUAAUUCGAAGAUACACGAAGAACCUUACCAGGUCUUGACAUACCAUUGACAGGCGCAGAGAUGUGCUCUCCUUCGGGCAAUGGAUACAGGUGGUGCAUGGUUGUCGUCAGCUCGUGCCGUGAGGUGUUGGGUUAAGUCCCGCAACGAGCGCAACCCUCAUUGUUAGUUACUACCAUUCAGUUGAGGACUCUAAUGAGACUGCCAACGAUAAGUUGGAGGAAGGUGGGGAUGACGUCAAAUCAUCAUGCCCUUUAUGACCUGGGCUACAAACGUACUACAAUGGCCAAUACAAAGAGAUGCGAAGCGGUGACGUGGAGCGAACCUCAGAAAGUUGGUCUCAGUUCAGAUUGAAGUCUGCAACUCGACUUCAUGAAGGCGGAAUCGCUAGUAAUCGCGGGUCAGCAGACCGCGGUGAAUACGUUCCCGGGUUUU